AGAGGAGCAACAUCACCCCCAUCUCGUUCCCCGAGGGAGUUGCCCCAGCCAAGAAGAAGAGCCAAAAUAGGGGUGGUGGAGGGGGGCAGAAUAGGGGUGGUGGAGGGGGGCAGAAGAGGAGUAACAGGGGUAUGUAUGCACCCCCUGGUGGCAAGUACAGUCAGAAGGCAGGCUCAGCUCCUGGAGGCGGUGAUGCUAACUAUGGAGAUAACUACGGAGGCAUGCAGGGCUACCAGAACCAGCAGGGACGAGGAGGCUACGGACGCACCAGAGGACGAGGAAGGGGUCGAUACUACUAGGGGAUUAACCUCAUAGAAGGCUAGAUGUAUAUACACUGAACUCUAAUCGCUAGUAUGUACAGCCAAACCUGCUUUAGUGACCACCUGUCUACAAUGCCACCUGUCUACAAGGACUACUUGUCUACAAGGACCACAUUUUUUGCUACCCUUGAAAAUGGUUUCUCACUGAAACAUGUACUAAAGGAACCUGUCUACAAAGACCACUGUUUGUGUUCCCUUGGGCGGUCGCUAUAGACAGGUUUGACUGUAGUUAGAUCACCAUUCACAGGAAUCUCUUCUGUAUUUUAAAGCUACUCAUGGAUGCUGAUUGGCUUGGCUCAACACUGAGGUCUCUGUCUCGAGGGUCAUCCACAGCAAACUAUUAGGGACUUAGAUUUACACGAGGCAGAACGUGGACUGCCCUUUUAAGGCAAUGUGGCGUUCUUUUAAGGCACUGGCAGUGACGUCACAUUGCCUUAAAAGGGCAGUCCACGUUCUCCGUCGUGCAAAUCUAAAAGUCCCUACUACGAGUGCAUGCACCCCUCUUCAUUUAGUGACAUGUGACUGAAGAGAGUAUGGGAUCCAUCUAGUUUACCACAGCCUGGUUGAUAUCGGGCCCUGCUAUAGGUCUAUUCUUAAAGCCAGGGGAAUACCCCAGUUCUCGUGAUGGUAUGACUUCAUUUGCAGUCUUCAUCUUAUGUUAUUAAUCAGAGAUGUGCCAGUGAUGCAUGCAUGUAUCACAUCUGUGGUUUUACAAUCGUCACAUCUACUGCAAUUCACUAGUCAUACUCUAAGUGUGAAUUGGUCACUACUGCAGGUCUAUGCUUAGAGCCAGGGGAAUACCCCAGUUCUUGUGAUGGUAUGACAUCAUUUGCAGACUUCAUCUUAUGUUAUUAAUCAGAGAUGUGCCUGUGAUGCAUGCAUGUAUCAUAGCUGUCGUUUGACAAUCGUCACAUCUACUGCAAUUCACUAGUCAUGCUCUAAGUAUGAAUUGGUCACUACUGCAAGGAUGUCAGCCUUGACGGUUGAAAAUGUCAUCCAUGUGUUCAACAUUUCUCGCCAGGCACUAAAGACUGAUCUUUAUAGGAGUUUGGAAACAUGAAUGCCAAUCUACGUCCCAUCUUCAUAUGUGUUCAAGAGUAUAGAAAUGGGAUGAUUUUUCAAUGUUAUUAGAAUCAUUAAUGUUUAGACAGAGUGGCUGUGUAUAAGCACACACAUGCUUGAGGUACAAGUAUUCUAAAACACCCCUGGCACUCUCUCUCUCUCUCUCCCUCUCUCUCUCUCUCUUAUACCCCUCUUUCAACUUGGUGUGCCAUUAUUGUAGUCUUGUAGCUGUGAUCCGAUUGAAAAUGAUCUGUUCCUCUUUGUAUUUCUCCACAACUUCAACGGGGAACCCAACUUUGAUAACAAACUACUAUAGAAGAACCAGAGAAACAGACUGGUGAAGUUUUAAAUAAAAUAAUCUUGCAAUGUUUACUAUGUAAAAUGCAAAAAAUGACAAAGAGGGAAGUAUUUUGUUAUUUUGUUAUUUAAAUGAUAGAAUGUUAAACUACACUGUAAUUCGUUAUCAGCACUUUUGUAGGAAUAUCAAAUCUUGUUAAAGUUUUUAUCAGUGUCUCCUCUGAUGGUUGGAAAUGUCGUCCAUGUGUUAAACAUUUCUUGCAAAGCACUAACGACUGAUCUUUAUAGGAGUUUGGAAACAUGAAUGCCAAUCUACGUCCCAUCUUCAUUUGUGUUCUAUUCUUGAAAUAUAGGUUACUGAUUCUCACACCACAUGGUAGGCCCAUAUUUAAAAUAACUACAGAUAUAACUAGAAGCCCUACUAUUUGUUUUCUUUUUCUUCAUGAAAUGUUGCAUAAUUGUGUAUUAAUCUACUUCAGAAGAAAAUACUGGCAAGAUAUUGGAGAGGUGGCCUUUGGUUGGGUGAAAAGAGAACUUUCACAAUUACCCCCGCCCUCAAAAAAAAAUAGUAGGGCUUUUAAUCCUGAAUAUAGUUACAGUUACUGUUAUGUAUGAAAUGUGGAUCAGGCUGUAGAAAGAGGUAGGGUAUAUUGCUAUUUAUGAAUGUUUGAGACAAUUCUAAGUGUUUUUGUUGUUCUUUUGUACUUUUUAUUAUGAUAGAUUAUUUAAAAAUAAAGACUACAGACCAAGUGUUUCCUCCAUGAUAAUUUCUCUCCCAUUUUUAAAUUUUUACUUUGUAGCUGCAUUAUUUUGAGGCACUCCACCAUGUCGUGUCUGAAUGGGGCAGAUAAUCAUUUAAUCUGAAGAAUUUUUUUUCAAAAGCAUUUACCUGGAAAGUAUUUAAAAGAGAAAUAAAUUUUCUGGAAAUGUAAAUGAUUAAACAAACAAAACCAAGAAAUACUGUAUAACUGAAAACUUGAGGGACAUGAAUGUCUUGAAUUGUUCAGAACAUCAAUUUUCAUGGCAUGCAAGAAAGAAUUGAAAAGACUUAUUUUUGUGUCAGUUGUGAUUCCAUUAUAUGAUCACAGCAUGAAACUUACAGGAAUCUGAAUCCUUUUCUUGAAUGCGUAUUAAAGUCUGGUGUUUUAAAAGCGUAGCACUCAUUCUUUACAGACAGACAUUUGAUGUGUACUAUGCUUUUAUAAUGUUAUAUUGUCACUGUUUUCAAUCGUUUUUUAAGAUAUCUUUUCUAUUUUUUGGGGGGAGGUGGUUUGCUUUGUCAUGUCUGACCAAGGCUUUUUUAAAUUGCAAGAACCUUUGGUAAUGUGGCGUGAGUAGUGUUUGCUGAAGAAAGACCAAAUGAAUGUUUAAUUAGAAAUGUACUACGUUAUCACAGUGUCAUGGUAAAGUAUGACAAAGGGUCAGAGAGGGGGGCAUGGAAGGUGUCUUUAAAUUAGAUUAUUUAUAAAUGUCAUUUUCUUGGAUUAAUCAAAAUGAGGAAUUGUUUUUACAAUAUUGCUCUUGGUGACCAUGUCAAUAAUGUGAGGAAAAAAAUCAAACAAUAAAUACAUUCUGCUUGUACAAAUGUUUUUAAAAUAUAA